CAGUACCUCAAGUAAGUCACUCUAUGAUGAAAAUUACCGUUUGAUAACGUACGUAUGAAACUACCCUUUCGCCAUUUCUGAGAGAAACUUGAGGCAAACCUUAGAAAUUUGAGUUUUUAAGAAUAGUCGUAAUAGUUAGCUAAUUUUGCUACGGUUAGAUCGUAUAUUUGUUAUUCCUGCAAGGAUUAUAGGAUCCUUACUGUCAACUAACAACCAUGAAGACCAUUGGAAAGGAUAUGUAACGUUGGUUGUCACCGGAAGUACUAAACAACGUAAGGUCUCGCGAUGUGCCAUGACCUACUUACGGGCCGUAUUUUCACUGGUCCUCUGUGUUGGCAGCUGUACCCACUUUUAGCAGUACAAACAUGUUUACUAAGUUUUAAAGUUUCUGUUGGUUGUAUUUAGUUCCAAUUAGGCACCAUUGAAUCAUUUAAAAGUAGUUUAAAAUUGUCGUGUCGCAAACACCACUCGCUAAUGAGCCAUCGUUUGAUUGUUUACUUGUCAGCACUGUCUUGGACUGGUAUGAAAUUCAAAGGCUGACAUGAACAGGUUAUGAAAUCAAUACAAGUGUGAAAUAUAUGCACCUUGAUGAUGGCAGAUUCAAAAUGGUCAUGACCAAUACUUUGAACUUGCACCGAAACAUGACAUUCACUGACAUAGAUAAUUAACAUUCAUACCUGAUGUUCAUCAUUUGAAGAGUGUAUGGAGUUUCUCUGUGAUGAAAAUUGGAAUUACCGUUUGAUAUACAUGAAACUAUCCUAACGGCAUUUAUUUCUGAGAGAAACAAACCAUCGCUAUUUUUCUAUUUACCAUGAUAUCGAAUUAAUUUCCAUUUCAGCAAUGUAUGAGAAGUGAGUGGUUUCAUAGCAACCAAAGUGGUAACAAUUUUAAAUGAGUUUUAAUUAUUCUGUGACAAAAACCAACUGACAGGAGUUACAAUCCAGGCAAAGGAAGUGUAUCGUACAGCGAAAGUGUAUGUUGUAGAACUAAGACACGUCAUGAUGCAACUUGUUACUGUUUUCAGCAGUUAUACGUAUUUCUUGGCGAACAGUUUCUAGGCGUCUGACUUUGAGUGCUGGCGAUUAGGUGCCUGACUCUGAGGGUGCGGGUUCGAAUCCCGGAUGGGACUCAACCCCAAAAGUACUAGAAUCUGUAAUUUACUAAGAAAGUGUAAUCCAUAAAUAUAACAUAUGCUAACUUUGACCACUUUCUAAAAUGGCAUUGUGUAUUUCAGACAUUGCUAAACAGAAAAAACGCAUCAAAAUCGCACGUUUAUUUAACUAAGGGACCGUUCAUAAUUUAUGGCUAGGAGGGUGAUGGUUUUUAUGGAGAAGCAUAACCCAAUCCCUAAAAUGUGUGGACAAAGAUACCCCCCUGCAUGUCAUGUACAAAAUCAAUGGGGGAUAAGAGGUCUGCCCGUAAUCCCCGCUUGAAAUGUCCAAGUGUAAGCUGGUGAUGUACCCCCGAGGUAAUGCGAGAUGGAGAGCUAAACGUCUGCUUCAGUCUCGUUCCUCGCAGUCUCGUUCGUCGAUACAAGGCCAAUAGAAAUACCACUUGGCACUUAUGGUGACGUUUUGCCCCAAACAAUCGGGUUCGAGUCCAUCCCCGUAGUGACCGGCGCCCGCUUUGCCAUUGUUCUCGAAUAUGUCAUGCUUCUUGCAAAUUUCGUGCAAUUCAAACAUCGGACAACUGCAAGGUUGCAUUUUACAUUUUCUCCGGUACAAAUCCAAAACAUCUCACACAAGAUUACCAAUAAAACACUUGUCACAACGUUUUCCUCUGUAUAUAUAUCACGUUUCUGUCAUUUCAUAUUGGGCAAAUGCUCGAAAAUAUCUGAGUGAAUAAUGGAAUCUGGACCAGACAAUCAAGUAAUCGACAGCAUGAGCAUCGAUCUUCGCUCUUGGGAACCGAUGAGUGGCGGCCUAGUCGACGACCCUGACUACCCGUGCAACAAGUAUGGGUUACUGAAGAUCAAUUCUAACCCGGAUCUUCACGGGUCCGAAACUAUCGAAGGUGAUGUGCACCAGAAUGAGGCAGAUGUCUACUCUUGAGUAGAAGAUGGAAUAUGUACUUGAUUCCGACUGCAUUUUCAGAAAACAGCUGUGGGGCCCCAAUCCACACACUAGUGGAUGUGAAAUCUGGUCAAGUCGAGCAGAAGAACCCUAGGCUUGGCAUUGACUGUCUCUUGAAAGGAACAAAUGAUUCAACCAGCUUGCGUGAGAAGGUGUUACUGAGUGCUGUGAGUUGCUGCGACUACGUCUUGAGAGCUGUGCUGAUCUACGAUGUCAUCCCAUAAAGAUGCAGACAGUGCCUAUAUUCCUUCCAUGAAGAUCGGAACUGACUGCAGCGUCACUGCAUCCGCCCUUGCCCGGAUGGCAGAACCACUGGAUCCGCCCUUGGACGGGUGUCAGAACCACUAGGAAAAGCCAUGCACCGCAUAACUGGACUCUAUUCACCAAGAACUGUUACCCGGAGAUGGGUGUAUAUAUAAGAAUGGAUUCAUUCCUCUGAAAAGGGAAAUUCACAUUUCCUACUUGUCUUACUACUUCCUACAUAGUCACGUGACAGCAAGUUGCAUCUAAAGCAUUCCAUUGGCUAUCUCUGACUGGGACGUGGUAAUAUGACAUAUAAUUGACCAUAAAUCUGGAAACAUUGAAACAAUAACCAAAUUGCAAACAGGUCACAGAAAACUACAUUCAAAUCUACAUAAAAUGCACACUGCCACAAAACAAACACCCGAACAUGCCCUGCCUACUAUACUGCAUAGACUACCAAAAACACAAUCGCACGCACGCACACGCACGCACACCUACCUCUUCAAAGCCUUGCGUAUAUUUAUAAUCCAAACUACACCCGUGAAGGUCCGGAUUAGAAUGGGUCUGCAGUAGCCAAUACUUGUCGUAGGAGGCGACUAACGGGAUCCGGUGG